CCUACGGGAGGCUGCAGUGAGGAAUAUUGGUCAAUGGCCGGAAGUCUGAACCAGCCAAGCCGCGUGAAGGACGAAGGUGCCAAGCAUUGUAAACUUCUUUUGUCAAGGGACAAAAUCAGGCUCGAGAGCCUGACCGAGGGUACUUGAAGAACAAGCAUCGGCUAACUCCGUGCCAGCAGCCGCGGUAAUACGGGGGAUGCGAGCGUUAUCCGGAUUUAUUGGGUUAAAAGGGUGCGUAGGCGGGCUGUUAAGUCAGCGGGAAAAGCCCGGGGCUCAACCCCGGCGAGCCGUUGAAACUGGCGGUCUUGAGAUGGCGAGAGGUAGGCGGAAUGCGCAGUGUAGCGGUGAAAUGCUUAGAUAUUGCGCAGAACUCCGAUUGCGAAGGCAGCAUACCGGCGGCGAUCUGACGCUGAGGCACGAAAGCGUGGGUAGCGAACAGGAUUAGAUACCCAUGUAGUC
rnacentral:rRNA from 1 species